rnacentral:rRNA from 1 species
AAAUUGAAGAGUUUGAUCAUGGCUCAGAUUGAACGCUGGCGGCAGGCCUAACACAUGCAAGUCGAACGGUAACAGGAAACAGCUUGCUGUUUCGCUGACGAGUGGCGGACGGGUGAGUAAUGUCUGGGAAACUGCCUGAUGGAGGGGGAUAACUACUGGAAACGGUAGCUAAUACCGCAUAACGUCGCAAGACCAAAGAGGGGGACCUUCGGGCCUCUUGCCAUCGGAUGUGCCCAGAUGGGAUUAGCUAGUAGGUGGGGUAACGGCUCACCUAGGCGACGAUCCCUAGCUGGUCUGAGAGGAUGACCAGCCACACUGGAACUGAGACACGGUCCAGACUCCUACGGGAGGCAGCAGUGGGGAAUAUUGCACAAUGGGCGCAAGCCUGAUGCAGCCAUGCCGCGUGUAUGAAGAAGGCCUUCGGGUUGUAAAGUACUUUCAGCGGGGAGGAAGGGAGUAAAGUUAAUACCUUUGCUCAUUGACGUUACCCGCAGAAGAAGCACCGGCUAACUCCGUGCCAGCAGCCGCGGUAAUACGGAGGGUGCAAGCGUUAAUCGGAAUUACUGGGCGUAAAGCGCACGCAGGCGGUUUGUUAAGUCAGAUGUGAAAUCCCCGGGCUCAACCUGGGAACUGCAUCUGAUACUGGCAAGCUUGAGUCUCGUAGAGGGGGGUAGAAUUCCAGGUGUAGCGGUGAAAUGCGUAGAGAUCUGGAGGAAUACCGGUGGCGAAGGCGGCCCCCUGGACGAAGACUGACGCUCAGGUGCGAAAGCGUGGGGAGCAAACAGGAUUAGAUACCCUGGUAGUCCACGCCGUAAACGAUGUCGACUUGGAGGUUGUGCCCUUGAGGCGUGGCUUCCGGAGCUAACGCGUUAAGUCGACCGCCUGGGGAGUACGGCCGCAAGGUUAAAACUCAAAUGAAUUGACGGGGGCCCGCACAAGCGGUGGAGCAUGUGGUUUAAUUCGAUGCAACGCGAAGAACCUUACCUGGUCUUGACAUCCACGGAAGUUUUCAGAGAUGAGAAUGUGCCUUCGGGAACCGUGAGACAGGUGCUGCAUGGCUGUCGUCAGCUCGUGUUGUGAAAUGUUGGGUUAAGUCCCGCAACGAGCGCAACCCUUAUCCUUUGUUGCCAGCGGUCCGGCCGGGAACUCAAAGGAGACUGCCAGUGAUAAACUGGAGGAAGGUGGGGAUGACGUCAAGUCAUCAUGGCCCUUACGACCAGGGCUACACACGUGCUACAAUGGCGCAUACAAAGAGAAGCGACCUCGCGAGAGCAAGCGGACCUCAUAAAGUGCGUCGUAGUCCGGAUUGGAGUCUGCAACUCGACUCCAUGAAGUCGGAAUCGCUAGUAAUCGUGGAUCAGAAUGCCACGGUGAAUACGUUCCCGGGCCUUGUACACACCGCCCGUCACACCAUGGGAGUGGGUUGCAAAAAGAAGUAGGUAGCUUAACCUUCGGGAGGGCGCUUACCACUUUGUGAUUCAUGACUGGGGUGAAGUCGUAACAAGGUAACCGUAGGGGAACCUGCGGUUGGAUCACCUCCUUA